rnacentral:miRNA from 1 species
UGCUGCUACACUAAAAGCUGGCCAGGCCUGGUGGUGCACACUAUAGGCAGCACUUGGGAGGCUGAGGCAGGAGGAU